CGAUGACGACGGCCAGAGCGAGCGCGGUGGAGGCUGGAGACGAGUCCCACUGCAGCGGUUUACUCUGAGACUUUCUGCUGCGGCUCAGAGACCAGCCCACACACAGACUCAGCAGCAGAUGCUUUAUGUUUUAUCCAGAGCUGAUCUGAGUCGAUCCGUGAGAUCAUGAGACUAACGCUGUGACAGACUCACAUUCGGCGAGGCUCCCCGUCAGCGGCGUCCCCACACCGUCUCGAGCGUACCUGCGGGUCCAGUCACACACAUCAUCAUCUCGCAUCAAUAAACCACCACAAAUUGGCGUCUCGAACAGGAUUGGAAAGGAGCAAGAGGGUGGAAGACCACUUUGACAAGCAACACAAACAGAGGCCACUAAAGGUAAGCAGUUUUUGCUUAUAUAGUCUGAGAGUCUGCCUGUGCUGGUAAGGACCUCCUCCAAAUUUAAAGAACAAAAAGAAAAAAGGGGUUUGUGUCCAUUAGAAAUAAAUGCAUGCAACGAUCUGUGUUUACUGUUAUAACUGGGCCUUGAGGAUAGCAAUAAAUGUUAAGCGGAUAGAGUAUAGAUAAGCGUG